GUAUCAAUGUGGUAGCUAUCAGCACUAUACAGUGAAACUGCGAAUGGCUCAUUAAAUCAGUUAUCGUUUAUUUGAUAGUACCUUACUACUUGGAUAACCGUGGUAAUUCUAGAGCUAAUACAUGCUAAAAAUCCCGACCUCCGGAAGGGAUGUAUUUAUUAGAUAAAAAACCAAUGCCUUCGGGCUCCUUGGUGAUUCAUGAUAACUUAACGAAUCGCAUGGCCUUGCGCCGGCGAUGGUUCAUUCAAAUUUCUGCCCUAUCAACUUUCGAUGGUAGGAUAGUGGCCUACCAUGGUUUCAACGGGUAACGGGGAAUUAGGGUUCGAUUCCGGAGAGGGAGCCUGAGAAACGGCUACCACAUCCAAGGAAGGCAGCAGGCGCGCAAAUUACCCAAUCCCGAUUCGGGGAGGUAGUGACAAUAAAUACUGAUACAGGGCUCUUUUGGGUCUUGUAAUUGGAAUGAGUACAAUUUAAAUCCCUUAACGAGGAACAAUUGGAGGGCAAGUCUGGCCC
rnacentral:rRNA from 1 species